rnacentral:lncRNA from 1 species
CGUACAUGGAAUGUGGCUUGUCUAGGGCAACUGUAUUUGUAAAUAAAUGGCUUCCUGUUUAUUACGUUCGCUUUCCUGAGAACUCAGCCUCUGAGCACUUAUUAGAGCAAGUAUUCAACUUCUGGUUUAAUUUCCACUGUGUGGGGUGGGGUGUUUUUUGUUUUGUUUUGUGGUAUUCACUAUAAAGAAACCGGGUUAAAAUGAAUCAGUUGGGUCGGGGGGUGGUUCCUGAUCCUGAAGCAUCCAGGCUGACCAGGAGAUAACAACCUUACAAGUCCUCACUUUGGCCUAAGUGCGAGGAAGGGGGCUGGAUCCUGGGACGCUGCUGGACUCCAAUCUGGGGAGUUUCACUUUUGCCCCCCGGAUCUUUCUACUGCUGACCGCAGCCUUCUCUAGCAGCUUCAGAGGGCAAGGCGGCUAUCCUCCUGGCGGGUGGCCUGGGCACCGACCUGCCGCCUGGCAUCCCCGCUAACCCUGCAGCCGCGCUCGCCCACCGCCCGCUCAGAGUCGCCGCGCAGGGCCAGGUUCCGCCGCUCCCGGGCGGGGACCGCAACGAGGCCGGGCACACGCAGCCAACCCCAGCGUCCGUGGGGCGCCCGAGUUCCCAACCCCGGGGAGGCGGCCGGGCCUGGCGCCCGAAACUCCAACCAGCGCCGGCCUCCGGCCGCCCUGCCCCCGCUCGCGUCUCCUCUGCCAGACUCGGCGCUCGGAACAAUGCAGCGCCCGGCGCCCCAGCGGGCCUCGCUGACCCCUAAGGCCCCCCGAUCCGGACCGCCGCCCCAUGCUGGACCUUCUUCCGAGCCGUUUUCCGGGUUUUUUAACCCCUGCGUCGAUAUCAAAGGGAGAAGGAGUGAAGACAGAAGAUGGAAAAAGUGAGUGACAGCUCAGUGAGAUUAGGGGGAAAUUCAUCUACAAAAUCAUUGCUUUAUCACCCCCAAAUACUUUUUUUAAAAAGCGCAAUACAAAGGGACUUGACUAAACAGAGCCUUUUUCGUCUUGCUACUUACAACUUGAGGCAUUACACUUUCAUUUUCCCACGUUGUAAAUAUUGAUACAUUAACAUGAUAAACGUGACCGCUCUGCUGAGUGUAUCUAAGGAGUGAUGAAAAAGGAAAACCCCCAGCACCAGUAAAGAAGAUAUAGAAUCGUACUGGGGAAAGAUAGAAACACAGAAAUGUAGAAUAAGUCUGAGCUGGUCACACUGAGUGUGGACCACCAUCAGGAGUUUAGAACUACAUUCUUCCAUGAUAGGAAAAACAAAAUAAAAAACAAACAAAAAAAGCGGAAUAAUUUCA